GAUCCCCGCGGCCGCCUGUGCUCACCAGCCUUGGCUUUGGCGUGCGGGGUUUCCCGGUGUUUUCCCUCCCGGCGCUUACCGGGACGGCGCUGUUCAUCCCGCCCCUCGUGAACAGCCGGGCAGGGCCACAGGCCCGCCGUGUCCAUGUGCUUUAGAGUAAGGACUUGUGCUGGAAGUAAGAAAAACCUGUGUGUUGUAGGAACCGUUUUCUGGUCUGGGAACGUUUAGGGUUACAGGUAAUUGACAGAAAUAAAAUACUUCGUCAUGAAUGUGCAGCACCCCCAGAUGAAAUUUAGAAGAUCAUCGGAGACCUCUGCAGUCUCUGCACAGCCUCCACAGCCAAGCUGAGCUCCCCUCACCUAAGGCACAGCCCCCAGAUCUGCCUAAAGAAAUUCUGCAAGAUUUGGAGCCCUGGUUUUCUGCAAGAAAAUUUUUCUUUUCCAGGCCAAAGUGAAUCCUGCACCUUUUUUGGUGUCAUUUCAGCUGGAGCCUGAGAACACAGUGACUUGCAGAAGCAACAAUCAAAGCUGGCUAUGACUUGACUGCCCUGCUUUGGCAAGCACCUGGUCCAGUUCAUGCUUUGUUGCCAUCCUGGCAACAAACUAACCCAUGAUGGCUCUUUGUGUACUUUUUUUACUUGUUUUAUUGAGGAUUAAUUAGUGUUUGUGUAGUGACACAGCUGUCUGGUGCUGCAUGGACACAGCUGAAGGCGAAGGCCUUCGGGCUAUGCUGUGGUUUCCAAAUUCCUGUGUUAUGGCUACUGUAAUGCAUAUCCUCGAAGUGAAACAAACAUUUCUGACUGAUUUAUGACUUUUGACUGCCAGCUUUCAGUCUUGUGCUUAGAGGAAGGAGAGAAGAAGAUGCAGUAUCAAAACCAA